CAGCUGUCACCGGCCAGAUAUGGAGCUGGCUCUGCCUCUGAGCCAACUAGCUACACCCUUCACCCUGUCGUACCAGUAUGUCCUUUUUCGUGAGGGGUUAAAGUACAGAUUUCUUUUUUCAUACGCAUUAGACAAUGAGCAGUAGAAAUUGUAACAUUUCCUUUUGUAAUAUUGGCAUUUGUGUACAUAGUCCUUGUUAUCAUACUUCAUGAAUUCAAUAGAAGAGCUUCAGCGCCAUCUUGCAGCAAACUAAAGCUUUGGUGCUCCGCCUCUUACAACUGCCCGCAGUCAUAUACAGAGAGAGCCUGCAAUCAGAGACAGGGUGCAGCUGCAGCAGAAUCCCAACAAUUCAUAAGAUUUAUUAAACUUGGGAGGAGUUACACAAAACCAUGGACAUAACCAGUCACAACAGAGAUGUAUAUCUUUUAGUAUUUGCAUAAUGGGUAUACAUCUGUUUAUAAAUGGUCACAUCUCAGUGAAUAGACUUAGCUCAACUGUGUAGCUGUUUCCUGUGUCCUGGUGCAUCAUGAUGAAGCUGCAGACUUUUUGCUUGCUACUGCUCUCAAUAGUCGAGUCCCAGGCACAGCACUCGGUGACACAGGAGCCAUCAAUAACAACUUCUCCUGGACAAAAUGUCAAGAUUUCAUGUACUUUGGGAGGAGGUCUAACUGUGGCCUCAAACAGGGUGGUGUUUAUCCAACAAAAAGAAAACAAUGUCCCCAGAUUCAUUCUAUAUUAUUUCACUGAGUCCAAAAAAGGCAAGGGGAAAGAUGUCCCAGAGCGUUUUGUGGGGUCUGCCAGUGGUAAUAUAGGUUAUUUGAAUAUAAAUGGGGUUCAGCAGGAGGAUGAUGCUGUCUACCACUGUUAUACAUGGACUGGUAGCCAGUUUCAAUUUGGAGACGGAACUCAACUCAACGUUCUAUCCGGUGACGGGAUCGCUCCCACUGUGUCUAUCUUGGCUCCACCUAAGGAAGACAUAACAGAUCAGGUGACUAUAGCCUGCACCCUCAGUGAUUACCGCCCCGCGUCUGCAACUGUGGAAUGGAUGGUGGAUGGGACCAAGCGGACAACUGGAGUACAGAACUCACCGGUCAGCAAACAGGCUGAUAAUCUGUAUAUGGGGAGCAGUCUCCUCAGCCUGUCCUCCCUCGAGUUCAACCAACAUGAUCAAUUCUCCUGUAAAGUGACACAUCAGGGGAAAGAGAUUAUCCAGACCCUGAAAAGAUCAGAAUGUUUCUAAUGGUCUAUACCCUGUUUACUACCCCAGUGAUUUUAUUUGGCUUUGUUACCAAUUUUUAUGCAUUUUGUCAUUUGUGGAGUUUUUGCUUCUUUUUUUUUUGAUGUUGCAAUCUUUAAUUGAAAUGCCUUUUAUCUAAUUUAGAGUUCUCCUUGAC